rnacentral:rRNA from 1 species
CAGCCGUAAACUAUGCGCGUUAGGUGUAUCGGUGACCACGAGUUACCGAGGUGCCGAAGGGAAACCGUGAAACGUGCCGCCUGGGAAGUACGGUCGCAAGGCCGAAACUUAAAGGAAUUGGCGGGGGAGCACCACAACAGGUGGAGCCUGCGGUUUAAUUGGACUCAACGCCGGGAAGCUCACCGGAUAGGACAGCAGAAUGAUUGCCGGGCUGAAGACCCUGCAUGACUAGCUGAGAGGAGGUGCAUGGCGUGGACGUCU